GAAGGUAGAAGGACCCGGUCUUCGGACUGGGAGCGUACACAGGUGCUGCAUGGCUGUCGUCAGCUCGUGUCGUGAGAUGUUGGGUUAAGUCCCGCAACGAGCGCAACCCUGCAUUCAGUUGCCAUCGGUAAGGCCGGGCACUCUGGAUGGACUGCCGGCGACAAGCCGGAGGAAGGUGGGGACGACGUCAAGUCAUCAUGGCCCUUAUGUCCAGGGCGACACACGUGCUACAAUGGCCGGCACAACGGGAAGCGAAGGGGCGACCCUGAGCGGAUCCCCAUAAAAGCCGGUCCCAGUUCGGAUUGCAGUCUGCAACUCGACUGCAUGAAGUUGGAAUCGCUAGUAAUCGUGGAUCAGCCAAGCCGCGGUGAAUACGUUCCCGGGCCUU
rnacentral:rRNA from 1 species